AAGCGAGGACGACCUCCCCCAUCAAGGGUUCAGCGCACGGGACGGCCCGG
rnacentral:ncRNA from 1 species